UACGGGGGGGGCAAGCGUUGUUCGGAAUUACUGGGCGUAAAGGGUCUGUAGGUGGCCAACUAAGUCAGACGUGAAAUCCCUCAGCUUAACUGGGGAACUGCGUCUGAGACUGGAUGGCUCGAGUGCAGGAGAGGAACGCGGAAUUCCAGGUGUAGCGGUGAAAUGCGUAGAUAUCUGGAGGAACACCGGUGGCGAAGGCGGCGUUCUGGACUGCUACUGACACUGAGAGACGAAAGCCAGGGGAGCAAACGGG
rnacentral:rRNA from 1 species